AGGGACUUAGGUUAAUCACAAACCAAUAGCCUUCAAAGCUAUAAACAAGAGCUAAAACCCUCUUAGUCCCUG
rnacentral:tRNA from 1 species